rnacentral:rRNA from 1 species
AGAGUGAACGCUGGCGGUAGGCCUAACACAUGCAAGUCGAACGGCAGCACAGUAGGAGCUUGCUCUUACGGGUGGCGAGUGGCGGACGGGUGAGGAAUACAUCGGAAUCUACCUUCUGGUGGGGGAUAACGUAGGGAAACUUACGCUAAUACCGCAUACGCCCUUCGGGGGAAAGCCGGGGACCAGCAAUGGCCUGGCGCUGAUAGAUGAGCCGAUGUCGGAUUAGCUAGUUGGUGAGGUAAUGGCUCACCAAGGCGACGAUCCGUAGCUGGUCUGAGAGGAUGAUCAGCCACACUGGAACUGAGACACGGUCCAGACUCCUACGGGAGCAGCAGUGGGGAAUAUUGGACAAUGGGCGAAAGCCUGAUCCAGCCAUGCCGCGUGUGUGAAGAAGGUCUUCGGAAUUGUAAAGCUACUUAAGUUGGAGGAAGGUUGUAAACCUAAUACGUUGCAACUUGACGUUACCGACAGAAUAAGCACCGGACUAACUUCGUA